UUAUGGCGAAGUGGUGAUUUGUGGCCUAUUGCAGCCACUUUAAAUAAGUCGCUAAAAAGUCGAUCCGGUUGUAUC
rnacentral:ncRNA from 2 species